rnacentral:rRNA from 1 species
CCUACGGGAGUCUGUAGUCGAGAAUCUUCGGCAAUGGACGCAAGUCCGACCGAGCGACGCCGCGUGCGGGAUGAAGGCCUUCGGGUUGUAAACCGCUGUCAGUGGGGAGGAAAUUCGGGAGGGUUAUCCCUUUCGAUUGACCUAUCUUCAGAGGAAGUGCGGGCUAAGUUCGUGCCAGCAGCCGCGGUAAGACGAACCGCACAAACGUUAUUCGGAAUUACUGGGCUUAAAGGGGGCGUAGGCGGUCCGGCAAGUUGGGUGUGAAAGCCCUCGGCUCAACCGAGGAACUGCGCUCAAAACUGCCGGACUUGAGGGAGAUAGAGGUGAGCGGAACUUAGGGUGGAGCGGUGAAAUGCGUUGAUAUCCUAAGGAACACCAGUUGCGAAGGCGGCUCACUGGGUCUCUUCUGACGCUGAGGCACGAAAGCUAGGGGAGCGAAGA